ACAUAGUAGGAAGGGGUUUCAUGAAGAACUAUGAUAUUUGAGACCAUCAUGGUGAGAGAUGUACAAAAAUAGGCAACAAGGAAACUAUAGGUGCACCAUAAGUAAGGGAAGAUGAUGAUGCCCCAUCUUGUCAUGAUACAUGAUGGUACAAGAGAUGAUGUUGUCGGCGGUGGUGGUGGCAAAGGCUAUGCUAGUGGAGAAGGUUGUGAUGGGGAGGAUGACGGUGAACACAAUGAAGAAGCGGAAGAGGAAGACUUCCUAGAUGACAUGUUGCGUCAGGUAGAGUAAGAAUUACUAUGCAAGGGCUAAAUAACUUGGAGAGGACACAAAAUGCAAGGAAAGAAUGUUUGUACCUUGAGAAAAAGGCUUAUGAGAAAAGGUGGUCAUUGCUACAUUUUGUGCUAGACAUACUGAGUUGAUUUUGUGCUUGCAACCAAACUUUGGGCCCACCAAUACAUAUCAAGUGAAGAAGCUUACACAAAUACAUUAAUCUUUAUCGAGGUGGGCAAAAAGCAUUAACCGAGGUGGUUUUUGCAACCGCCUCAAACCAAAAGUCAUGGUUAAUCGUGACCUUAACUGAGACGGUUUCCCUGCCCACCUAGGUAAAUCAAAAUAAAAAACAACAAAAGAAAAAAUCUAUGGAGAGGCCACAAGAGCCCAUCCUUAGUCCCACCAAGCCCAUUCAUGGCCCAGUGCCACCACUCACCAAUCCUGACACCAGCCGCUUUCCUUGCCCGUCAGAUCCACCUCUCCGCCACUGGAUCUAGCCUCACCAGCCGUGGAUGGCUGCCGGGAAGCGCGCCGGCCAUGGAUCUACUGCCGACGCUAGAUCUAGGCCUACCAAAGCCGUUGCUGCCAGAUAUGGGCCCCC
rnacentral:lncRNA from 1 species